rnacentral:rRNA from 1 species
ACGGAGGGUGCAAGCGUUGUCCGGAUUUAUUGGGUUUAAAGGGUGCGUAGGCGGCUAUCUAAGUCAGUGGUGAAAUCCUGCAGCUUAACUGUAGAACCGCCAUUGAUACUGGAUGGCUUGAGUACAGACGAGGUAGGCGGAAUUUAUGGUGUAGCGGUGAAAUGCAUAGAUACCAUAAAGAACACCGAUUGCGAAGGCAGCUUACUAGGCUGUAACUGACGCUGAGGCACGAAAGUGUGGGGAGCAAACAGGA